UUUGUGGAGAGUUUGAUCCUGGCUCAGGACGAACGCUGGCGGCGUGCUUAACACAUGCAAGUCGAACGGAAAGG
rnacentral:rRNA from 1 species